UACAGAGGGGCAAGCGUUGUUCGGAAUUACUGGGCGUAAAGGGCGCGUAGGCGGCCUGCUAAGUCGAACGUGAAAUCCCUGGGCUCAACCCAGGAACUGCGUCCGAUACUGGUUGGCUAGAGUCCGGAAGAGGCGAGUGGAAUUCCCGGUGUAGCGGUGAAAUGCGCAGAUAUCGGGAGGAACACCAAUGGCGAAGGCAGCUCGCUGGGACGGUACUGACGCUGAGACGCGGAAAGCCA
rnacentral:rRNA from 1 species